rnacentral:rRNA from 1 species
AAAUUGAAGAGUUUGAUCAUGGCUCAGAUUGAACGCUGGCGGCAGGCCUAACACAUGCAAGUCGAACGGUAACAGGAAGCAGCUUGCUGCUUUGCUGACGAGUGGCGGACGGGUGAGUAAUGUCUGGGAAACUGCCCGAUGGAGGGGGAUAACUACUGGA